GUUGUAAAGAUCUUUCAGAAUGAUGACAGUGAGAACUCGGAUUUUCCUAAACCUUGGAAUCAAGCUAAUUUUGAGGGAUUGUUGUUUGCUCUUGCAUGGAAGGUCUGUUUUUCACAUUUCCUUUCAAAGAAAUAUAUUGUUGGUUUGAGUUCUCUAACCAUCUUCCACUAUUCUAUAGGGUGUGGGAAAUAGGGAAGCUGUAUGGCAGCGUAGAUACUUUUGUCUGGUCGGGCCAUUUCUUUGUAUACUAGAAAGCCCUACUUCCUAAACUUACAAACAGUGUCUCAGGUUCUUAGAUAGUACUCUUUUAUUUUGCUCAUAUCUAGCAUUUUGUAUCUGGCUGUCCUUUCAAAAUUCCAAAUUUUAAGCUGUAAAUGAGUGCACCAGAAAAUAGUUAUAAAAACUGUUAAAUCUGUCACCUCUCUCUUCUCCAACCUACGUGGAAAACAAGUAUAUCAGGUUCCUCCGGAGCAUGCUGACAAUGUGGAAAAUGUGUUAGCAGUUUAUGAUGUUGGGCAAUCAAACAUCAAGGUCAUCGAACUUGUUAAUGCAUUGAUUUUGCAAUGUGAUAAUGAUAAUUCGUGGCGAACUUGGUAGAACUGCCUUCAAAGGGCUAUCUAUCGUGCAUCGGAAUCAUAUGAAGAGUUUAAGCACGUGCUUCUUGCAUUUAUAUUUGACAAAGGAUUAGACAUCUCCUGUGGCAAAUGAGUAUUAAUUUGCUAGAGAACAGAGGAGGAGGGCAUUUUGAGGAAAAGCAGGUCCUAUUAAUUUUCAGGGAUGUAUGCAAUGCAGUAUUUGCAAUGCAUUCCGAUUCACCAUUGAUUGCUCAUAGGUAAGGCCC